rnacentral:telomerase_RNA from 1 species
GUUAAUGGCUCAAAUGCGGUGCAAGCCGCAUGAUCCUAACCCUGACGUAUGUACUUUCUCUCACUGCACUCUUUGUCUGUCUUUUCAGUCUGUUUCCAGACAAAGGAGAGAAUGAUAAAAGCCAAAGAAACUGACUAGCCAUAUUGGGUUGAAAAACCCGCUGCAGAACAUUCACCGAACGGCAAGAUAGUCGGAUUGUAUACCUAAGCUCUUCUGGAGUAGCUGUGGUGUACUUUUGUUCCGAAACAGGCAGUUGCAGAGGGGAACGUUUCACGGUUCGACCGUGACGGACGCUGCAGGUUGCUUGUUGGUAUUUUGCUGGUAAAUGUUUUGCAUAAGAUUAAAUGCAGUUAGGAUGAUACCUUCGUGUACAAGAUGUCACGGAGGCUAUACCUAGCUGCUACAAAC